rnacentral:tRNA from 1 species
GUGACUGUAGCUCAAUGGUAGAGCGCCGGGUUGUGGUCCCGGAUAUGCGGGGUCAGUACCCGCCAGUCACCCCA